rnacentral:rRNA from 1 species
UACGGAGGGUGCAAACGUUGCUCGGAAUCAUUGGGCGUAAAGCGCACGUAGGUGGCCUGUUAAGUCGGGUGUGAAAUCCCUGGGCUCAACCCAGGAAGUGCACUCGAAACUGGCAGGCUUGAGUACUGAAGAGGGUCGCGGAAUUCCCGGUGUAGAGGUGAAAUUCGUAGAUAUCGGGAGGAACACCAGUGGCGAAGGCGGCGCAUUGGACCACAACUGACGCUGAGGCGCGAAAGCUAGGGGAGCAAACAGG